AGUCGACCCCUAAGGCGAGGCCGAAAGGCGUAGUCGAUGGGAAACAGGUUAAUAUUCCUGUACUUGGUGUUACUGCGAAGGGGGGACGGAGAAGGCUAUGUUGGCCGGGCGACGGUUGUCCCGGUUUAAGCGUGUAGGCUGGUUUUCCAGGCAAAUCCGGAAAAUCAAGGCUGAGGCGUGAUGACGAGGCACUACGGUGCUGAAGCAACAAAUGCCCUGCUUCCAGGAAAAGCCUCUAAGCAUCAGGUAACAUCAAAUCGUACCCCAAACCGACACAGGUGGUCAGGUAGAGAAUACCAAGGCGCUUGAGAGAACUCGGGUGAAGGAACUAGGCAAAAUGGUGCCGUAACUUCGGGAGAA
rnacentral:rRNA from 1 species